rnacentral:lncRNA from 1 species
UGGGCCUCCCCAACCUCUUCGACAUCAGAAUCCCCACUGGUGAGUCAGCCUUGACCAAUCCAUCAUUAGCCAGAUGACUCGUCAAAGCUGCACUUCUCUCGACUAAUAGGGAGAACAGGAGAAAUCGGACGAUGUCCGAAAUGUUCUCCUCAUUUUACCCGACGAUGCUUGGGAUAAGUUUCCAACAUUCCUUUCUCUUUUUUUUUGAUCUGACUUGACUAGUCUUUU